GACGUAGGGCGCGAGCGUUGUCCGGAUUUAUUGGGCGUAAAGAGCUCGUAGGCGGCUUGUCGCGUCGACCGUGAAAACUUGGGGCCCAACCCCAAGCUUGCGGGCGAUACGGGCAGACUUGAGUACUGCAGGGGAGACUGGAAUUCCUGGUGUAGCGGUGAAAUGCGCAGAUAUCAGGAGGAACACCGGUGGCGAAGGCGGGUCUCUGGGCAGUUGCUGACACUGAGGCGCGACAGCGUGGGGAGCAAACAGG
rnacentral:rRNA from 1 species